rnacentral:rRNA from 1 species
AGCGUAGGCGGGAUCGCAAGUCAGAUGUGAAAACUAUGGGCUUAACCCAUAAACUGCAUUUGAAACUGUGGUUCUUAAGUGAAGUAGAGGUAAGCGGAAUUCCUAGUGUAGCGGUGAAAUGCGUAGAUAUUAGGAGGAACAUCAGUGGCGAAGGCGGCUUACUGGGCUUUAACUGACGCUGAGGCUCGAAGGCGUGGGGAGCAAACA